GAUGAACGCUAGCUACAGGCUUAACACAUGCAAGUCGAGGGGAAACGACAUCGAAAGCUUGCUUUUGAUGGGCGUCGACCGGCGCACGGGUGAGUAACGCGUAUCCAACCUGCCCAUCACUUGGGAAUAACCUUGCGAAAGUAAGACUAAUACCCAAUGACAUCCCACGAAGUCAUCUGAAUGGGAUUAAAGAUUUAUCGGUGAUGGAUGGGGAUGCGUCUGAUUAGCUUGUUGGCGGGGUAACGGCCAACCAAGGCAACGAUCAGUAGGGGUUCUGAGAGGAAGGUCCACCACAUUGGAACUGAGACACGGUCCAAACUCCUACGGGAGGCAGCAGUGAGGAAUAUUGGUCAAUGGGCGAGAGCCUGAACCAGCCAAGUAGCGUGCAGGAUGACGGCCCUAUGGGUUGUAAACUGCUUUUAUAAGGGAAUAAAGUGGGUCUCGUGAGACUUUUUGCAUGUACCUUAUGAAUAAGGACCGGCUAAUUCCGUG
rnacentral:rRNA from 1 species